rnacentral:rRNA from 1 species
ACGGGUGAGUAACACGUGGGCAACCUACCUUAUCGACUGGGAUAACUCCGGGAAACCGGGGCUAAUACCGGAUAACAUCUAGCACCUCCUGGUGCCGGAUUAAAAGAGGGCUUCUUGCUCUCACGAUGAGAUGGGCCCGCGGCGCAUUAGCUAGUUGGAGAGGUAACGGCUCCCCAAGGCGACGAUGCGUAGCCGACCUGAGAGGGUGAUCGGCCACACUGGGACUGAGACACGGCCCAGACUCCUACGGGAGGCAGCAGUAGGGAAUCUUCCGCAAUGGACGAAAGUCUGACGGAGCAACGCCGCGUGAGUGAUGAAGGGUUUCGGCUCGUAAAGCUCUGUUAUGAGGGAAGAACACGUACCGUUCGAAUAGGGCGGUACCUUGACGGUACCUCAUCAGAAAGCCACGGCUAACUACGUGCCAGCAGCCGCGGUAAUACGUAGGUGGCAAGCGUUGUCCGGAAUUAUUGGGCGUAAAGCGCGCGCAGGCGGCCUUUUAAGUCUGAUGUGAAAUCUUGCGGCUCAACCGCAAGCGGCCAUUGGAAACUGGGAGGCUUGAGUACAGAAGAGGAGAGUG